rnacentral:lncRNA from 1 species
GCCUGGUGGUGGAAUAUUAUACAGCGAAGAGACAAUCUCUGGCAAGUUUUUGUAGAAAAAUGUUUCAGUGCCUAGUCUGAGAAAUAACAGUUUCAGUUCUUUGAAACUCUAAAAUAUAUUUUCCUCAUGUCUGUGUUCUUCAUUUUCAUAAUGAAGUAUUUUGCUAUGUAGCUGUGUACAUAUCACUACAAUUAUAGGAAGUUCCAGACCACAGUCCAUCUAAAGGACUACCCUGCCUUACAUAUCUCAAGGACUUCAGUUGAAGAAAUCACUUGACUAAUCAGAGAAUAAAAUCCUAAUGUUCUGAAGACUUUAUUUUCACAUAUUUGUUAAAUGCUGGACUAUAUUAUAAAAAUGUUUUCAAGAAAUCAUUUAAGUAUGUAGAUCAGUAUUUCUGACAGGUAAAAUGAUUAACAUAAACAGCCUCUAAUAGGCAUGGAUUAUAUUUUUGAGUUUUGUAGAAUAUUGCAAAUUAACUACACAGAAAAAAUGUUUAUGUAACAAGUGUGUAUGUUCAUGCAAAUUUGGUGGAACUUUAAAGAGAAUAAAUAUUUGAGAAAAGAUCUGGUACAGUUAUACUACAUAUACUGUAUUCUUUCAUAGCAUUAGGUGCCUUAUAUUUUAAAAAUGUGACAAACUAUGACAAAUUUUGAAGGGGGAAUAUUAUAAAAUGAAGCACUGUAUUUCUAAUUGCUAUAAAUUUAAUUGAUAAAACUCUGUUUAAUUUAGAGUUUUAUAGAAAUAUUCUAUCUUCAAUUAAGAAAUUUUCAUAAUGGAAUGAUUAAAUUGAAGUGAUAGAGGAUUAUUAAAAUAAAAUGUUUAUAUAUGUGUUUGUAUAUCAUAGAUGUAUCAGAUGUAUCAUAGAUUUCACAUUGUAUAAAUAUCCCAAAUUACUCCAGAACUGUAUGCUUCUUUAAAUAAUUUGUUUUCCUAAGUAAAUUUUUAGUGUAUAAAACAUCAAAAAAAGAAAGUUAAGGAGGCAUUCUACUUUUAAAAUUACAUUUGAAUUUUUCUUUUGCCAGUAUUAAGACAAGUAUAAAAUACUCCUAAUUGCAACUCUUAAAUAUGUGCUUACCCAUCGGCUCCUGGACUCUGUUCGCUAUCAGUGAGCAUAUGUGUUAGGGUCUGCAGGUUUUUGAUUACUCAUAAUCCAUUCCCUUUUCAAGUUUUGUGAGAAUAGUUUAGUUCUCUUUAAAAUUUUUUAAUGAAUCUAAUUUUUAAAAAUUCUCUUUGCAGAGACCCACUUCUGUUUGUCUUAUUUAUAGCCUUAAAGUUGUUUGUUGUUACCCUGAGUCUAAAAUGAAGUUUAGCCAUCUUUCUGAGUAGUCCUGAGAAUUUUUAUAUUAAUUUAAGAGAUUGUGAUAUUAAACUUAAAAACAGGCAGCUUUGUCUUCUCAUUUGGUGUCACCAAUAAUUCUUAACCUAAAAGUAAUGUUGAUUUUGUUACUCUUUGACCUAUUUGGCUUGACAGGAUAGAGGCAUGUAAGACAUACGGACUUUUAAGGAAUUUUUUUAAAAAUAGGAACUUACUGAAAAAACAUUUCAGUACUCAGAGACUAAUUCUGGUUGAAGUUUAUUUGUUCUUUGUUUUUGCCAUUUAACAGGUCACAGAGAUCUUUUUAUAGGGCAAAAUAGUUAAGGCAAAGGAGCUAAAACUAAAAUUUUAAAAUAAUUCUUCAAAUAUGGUAAGAGGUGUAACUUAGGUUUUUAUUUUUUUGUUCACGUGCACUAUUCUCACAUCACACAGAUCAUGUGUCGUUACUUAGGAUUCUAGAACUAGUUAGGAAGUAUUUGUUAAUAUGCUGGACAGAUCUCCAGAGGGACUUCUCUGCUAGGCUGCUGCUUUUUAAUCCAAGAACUGCUUCAGAAGGAAGUGCCAUUAAAUUGGUUGAGAGUGUGAAUUACUGCUGCUUUGCUUUCCUUCCUAUUAUCUUCUCUCUCAAGGUUUAUUUAUCUGAAUGACUGUUGUAUUGAAUACUGUAGACCUGGUGAGUAAACAGUUGAAAACCUCCUUGCUGCACUUUUGUAUUUAAGGGUUCAGCCUCUCAGGAAGCAAAGUACUGAAAAUUUGUUGCCAUGGUACACAGAUAUAAUCCCAGCUACUCAGGAGGCUGAGGCAAGAGUAUCCCUUAAACCCAGGAGUUUGGAGACAGUCUGGGCAGCAUAAAGAGACCUUGUCUCUUGAAAAAGCAAAAGUGCCAACUGGUUUCCUUCUGUGGAUUAUCUGAAACUAGGCAGCAAGUCCGGGGGAUCACAGCAGCUGUGAUGCACUUCAGGCCUUUGGAAAUGCU